rnacentral:lncRNA from 1 species
CGCAAGAGAAUGCUCUCCUCCAACAGUCUCGCCACAUGCAGCCUCAAACCGCCGCGCGAACCGCUUCCUCAGCUUCCCUUAAUUACACCACCGUGCUGGCCGCACUCUGAACUGGCUGGAGAUUGGUGGUUGUCUUUCCUCAGUGUCGAGAAUGGGUUGUUCAACCCUUUUUUGGUCUGAUGAAGUUUGACUCCUAAAACUCUAACCCUAACCCUAACUCUGAU